rnacentral:rRNA from 1 species
UACGAAGGGGGCUAGCGUUGCUCGGAAUUACUGGGCGUAAAGCGCACGUAGGCGGAUUGUUAAGUCGGGGGUGAAAUCCUGGAGCUCAACUCCAGAACUGCCUUCGAUACUGGCGAUCUCGAGUUCGGGAGAGGUGAGUGGAACUGCGAGUGUAGAGGUGAAAUUCGUAGAUAUUCGGAGGAACACCAGUGGCGAAGGCGGCUCACUGGUCCGGUACUGACGCUGAGGUGCGAAAGCGUGGGGAGCAAACAGG